rnacentral:rRNA from 1 species
CAAAUUACCCACUCCCGGCACGGGGAGGUAGUGACGAAAAAUAACGAUACGGGACUCAUCCGAGGCCCCGUAAUCGGAAUGAGUACACUUUAAAUCCUUUAACAAUUAGCAAUUGGAGGGCAAGUCUGGUGCCAGCAGCCGCGGUAAUUCCAGCUCCAAUAGCGUAUAUUAAAGUUGUUGCGGUUAAAAAGCUCGUAGUUGAACUUGUGUUCCGCGCUGUCGGUUCACCGCCCGCGGUGUUUAACUGGCACGUCCGCGGAACGUCCUGCCGGUGGAUGCGUAGACCCUGUAUUCUUCCCCAUUGUGCGUGUGCAACUCCGGUUGUUACUGUAUGAUGUGGUGGGGUUGCAGGUGUUCUACCAUCCGACUCAAUAAUCCUGUCGCGGUGCUCUUAAUUGAGUGUCGAGGCGGGCCGGCACGUUUACUUUGAACAAAUUAGAGUGCUCAAAGCAGGCUAAAAUUUCGCCUGAAUACUGUGUGCAUGGAAUAAUGGAACAGGACCUCGGUUCUAUUUUGUUGGUUUUCGGAACCCCGAGGUAAUGAUUAAUAGGGACAGAUGGGGGCAUUCGUAUUGCGACGUUAGAGGUGAAAUUCUUGGAUCGUCGCAAGACGGACAGAAGCGAAAGCAUUUGCCAAAAAUGUUUUCAUUAAUCAAGAACGAAAGUCAGAGGUUCGAAGGCGAUCAGAUACCGCCCUAGUUCUGACCAUAAACGAUGCCAGCUAGCGAUCCGCCGACGUUCCUCCGAUGACUCGGCGGGCAGCUUCCGGGAAACCAAAGCUUUUGGGUUCCGGGGGAAGUAUGGUUGCAAAGCUGAAACUUAAAGGAAUUGACGGAAGGGCACCACCAGGAGUGGAGCCUGCGGCUUAAUUUGACUCAACACGGGAAAUCUCACCAGGCCCGGACACCGGAAGGAUUGACAGAUUGAGAGCUCUUUCUUGAUUCGGUGGGUGGUGGUGCAUGGCCGU